rnacentral:rRNA from 2 species
UUGGAGAGUUUGAUCCUGGCUCAGGACGAACGCUGGCGGCGUGCUUAACACAUGCAAGUCGAGCGGAAAGGCCCUUCGGGGUACUCGAGCGGCGAACGGGUGAGUAACACGUGAGUAACCUGCCCCUGACUUCGGGAUAAGCCUGGGAAACCGGGUCUAAUACCGGGUAUGACCUGCGCCUGCAUGGGUGUGGGUGGAAAGAUUUUUCGGUCGGGGAUGGGCUCGCGGCCUAUCAGCUUGUUGGUGGGGUAGUGGCCUACCAAGGCGACGACGGGUAGCCGGCCUGAGAGGGCGACCGGCCACACUGGGACUGAGACACGGCCCAGACUCCUACGGGAGGCAGCAGUGGGGAAUAUUGCGCAAUGGGCGGAAGCCUGACGCAGCGACGCCGCGUGGGGGAUGACGGCCUUCGG